AUGUCACACAUUCACACAGUGGUAAGCAAGGCGAACAACAACUUUGCUAGGUGACAGAUCUAAAUUUGAAGGCAAAGUGGUCAUCAAUGAGAGAAUAUAAAACAUCCAGCAUCAUUGUUACUCUCCAGGGGAUGCAACAUGGUGAGAUUUGAUCAUACAGAAGUCCCAGUGCAGAUGGACUAUGUGAACAUGACUCGUGCUUCAAGCCAAGGAGGGACAGCUGCAGUGACAGGAAGAAACGUGUACAGACUAGUUGCUGUGAUCUUUGGACUCCUGUGCGUCCUGCAAGCUGCUCUCAACAUUUCACUGCGUCUUACUACCUUACAUUCUGCCAGCAAAAUAAAAGAAAUUGCCACAGAGGCCACCUGCACAAACACCUCUCAAGAACUUGACAAGCUGAAAAGAAAAAUCACUACCAUUGAUAGCCAUCGCCGACAAGGAUGGGUUUAUUUCCCCUCUAGUUUGUAUUACAUUUCUUCAACAACAAGAUCCUGGUCCGGCAGCAGAGCCGACUGCCUUCGAAGAGGUGCAGACCUGGUGGUUAUCAAGAGCAGAGAAGAGCAGGCCUUCAUAGUGAAAUUCAACCUGAGGGUGUGGAUUGGGCUGACCGAGAAAGAGGGCGCAUGGAAAUGGGUUGACAGGUCUCAGCUGACAGAAAGCUACUGGGCUGCAGAUGAACCUAAUAAUUAUGAAGGCACAAAGGAAGACUGUGUAGAAAUAAGGUUCAGUGACAUCAAUAACAGCUGGAACGAUGUCACAUGUGGAGAACAACACUUUUGGAUAUGUGAAAAGAUUGUGUGAUGCAACUCUUAGGAGAUAAUAAAACUUUAUAAUUGCUGAACAAAGUUCAUUUUGUAUAUCUGUAAUACCUAAUGUUGUUGAUUACCAUGAGAUAAUAAUUUUGUUUGUCUAGAGCACAGGUGACAAACUCAAGGCCCGGGGGCCACAUCCGUCAUGUCAUCCAUUUAUGUGGCCCGCGAAAAGCAACUCAACCCUACGAGGGAAACCAUAACUAUGAUGUGGCCCGCAGCAAAAAGGAGUUUGACACCCCUGGUCUAGAGAAACCAAGCAUCCAUCCAUCCAUCCAUUUUCUAUACCAC